UUUUUCUUUCUUUUUCUUCUCCUCCUCUUCUCUUCUCCCGAUUUCUCCUUCCCCCUUUCUUCCCAUUUCUUCUCCCAUGGAGGGAGGAGGGCGAGCUCGGGAGGCUUGGGAAGAACGGGCAGCGGCUGAUGGCGCCCGGCGGCCGGCCUGCGGCGCCCCCGGCCACACCCGCGGCCGUGCUCGGGGGCGCAUCGGCGGCCCGCGGCCGCGUCUGCCUCCCACUGCCGGCGACCCGCGUCCCACGGCCGACGACCCGCGGCCCACGGCCGAGGCCGGCGCCCGCGGUUGCGGCUGUGGAUCAACCACCAGGGAUCGUUCGUCUCCUACUCCGGCGAUGCAGCCCUCUGCUCCGACGGCGUGGGUCUAACACCGGAUCCUGCCAACCGUGAAGGUUUGUGAGAGAGGGAGACAAACAGUGGAGGAGGAGGAUGAAUGGGUGGUGAAAUGGUAGCCGAUCGGGGCUUCUUGUAGCCUCGAUCACUGGGAAGGCGGACGGUUGUAACCGCCCACCAUCAGGCGUUACGAACGCCUGCACGAUGGUGUAAUGCCCUCCCCCCCUCCGUUUCUCUUGGAAGUGGGGCGGUUAUCACAAUUGGGUUUCAGAGUUCAGAUAUAAUGGUGGUCAAAGACACUUCACCACAGGCUUCCAGACUUAGUCACCUGAUUAAGAAAUCAGAACAGGUCAAAGCUAUAUGUGAUUUGAAAACGAGCCGCUCAAAACAGUCAUUGUAUGUAACGUAGGAAUCAUAAAAA